UACGUAGGUGGCAAGCGUUGUCCGGAAUUAUUGGGCGUAAAGCGCGCGCAGGUGGUUUCUUAAGUCUGAUGUGAAAGCCCACGGCUCAACCGUGGAGGGUCAUUGGAAACUGGGGAACUUGAGUGCAGGAGAGAAGAGUGGAAUUCCACGUGUAGCGGUGAAAUGCGUAGAGAUCCGGAGGAACACCAAAGGCGAAGGCAGUGUCCUGGGGAGUACCUGACGCUCAGGUGCGAAAGCCAGGGGAGCGAACGGG
rnacentral:rRNA from 1 species